CUCUCAGGCUACAGAUACAGGAUCCAGUACAUAAUGCUCAAAGCAUAAACCCAGAUCAAAUCUCGCUGCAGCAGCAGUAUACAAAGGAGUAGAGAAAAAGCAUGCUGACCGUGCAUUGAAGAGAAGGCACUCGAAAGCCCCUGUUUACCCUUGUUUCAGGCACAAGUACAGUUCUUAGUGCAUGAGUGAUGCAAAAAUAACUGGAGGAUUGCAUCAAGCAUUCAUCCACGGCAAUUUAAAUAAAGAUGAGCUGACGUGAUGGAGAUUAACUGCACUGUAAGAAUGCCUGCAGUGCUCAGCAGAAUGAGGGGCAAGGGAGAAAAAGGACAAGGGGGGGAGUUACACUUCUAGCAAAAGGACAUAUCACUUAGUCCAGCAAAUCAGCAUGCCCAAAAUUUCAUAUUACUGACGUAGAUCUGGCUCUGGCAUGUCUGCAUCAUGCUGUGUAGGCAUUAGGUGCUCUGCAUGUUUAACAUGUGUCUGUAGUCCAGGAGGAAAAUUCUUUCAGUAUAUGAAAGGGAGCUACAGGAAGAAGGGGACAGACUCCUUAGCAAGAUCUGUGGUGACAGAACAAGGGGAAAUGGUUUCAUGCUUAAAGGGGGGAUAUUUAGUUUAGACAUAAGGAAAAAGUCUUUUACAGUGAGGGUGGUGAGACACUGGAACCGGUUGCCCAGAGAGGUGGUGGAUGCCCCAUCCCUGGAGACUGUCAAGGCCAAGCUGGACCAGGUUUUGGGCAACCUGAUCUACCUAUGGAUGUCCCUGUUCACUGCAGAGGAGUUGGACUAGGUGACCUUUAAAGGUCCUUUCUAACUCUAAGGAUUCUAUGAUUCUUCCCCAGAUAGUUACUGGUAGUCUUACUGGGUCAGAAUGAGCCAGGGUUGCCUGCACAUCACUGCUGGCAGAAUUUUUCACCUGAAUCUAUAAGCCAACUCUUUUUCAUUUAGAAAGCCAGGGAGAAUUCGGUCAGGCUCUGAAGAAUGAGGAGCUUCCACAGCUGCUGCCCUCUAGCCUUUAUGGACAUCAGAGAGACUGCACGGCCCUAGUAAGUCAAUGGAGAUACUUCAUGUAUGCUCGUCUCAAGAAAAGUAGAAUCUGUUUCCACUUCUGGUUUAUGCAAUGGAAAGUUCCAAAUGCUGAAGAAGCUGGGCCACUUGGAUCAAAGAUAGCCAUCUGAGACUGAAGGUUUUCAUCCAUUCUUUCCAAAUGUUUUCACUGCCUCCACUCUUGAUUUCUGUAUGCUUUGACUUUAUCAUCCAAGCUACAACAACAACAGGACAAACUCCACAUAGUGCAAAUGUAAUUUGCAGGGUCAGCAUGAAACUGAUCCUGGAUCUUGGAUGAAAAGAGAGCUAUAUAUGUUGUGUCACAUCCAUAGAGCUGCCAGCACCUGCUAAGAACCUUCAACACAAACUGAAGCCAAAGUGAGCUGAGGUCACGCUUCAGGAACGCCAGCAUUAAGUCAUUGUGUUCAGAGACCCUGGCUAAAUGUAGGGGCGAUGCGUACAUAUUGCAAAACCACAGUCCUCUGUCCAUCCUCUCUUCCAGCUGCCCUUGGGUCUCCUUCACAUACACUAUGCAGAAAUGUAGUCUUCUGGCUAUAUGAAAUGAUAAAAAAAACAAUUUCUACAUUGUUAGGUUAGGUACAGAAUUUGUAUGCAUGGCCAGAGUUUAGCCCAACAUAUUCUUCCAGAUUUUUCAGAAGAUGUUAAAGAUGUCAGUUCUGUGAAGUAUGUAUUAUAAUGCGUUUUCAGUUUUACUGACCUCCCUAAUGGAAAGACAAACAUUGCAAAAAUCGUUACUGAAAAGAAGGAUGACUUUGGCAUGUCAGCUCUCCAUCAGUAGAUCUGAAGCAACAGAACAUUUAUUGUUUUCAGUUCACCGCAAUUUUUAAAAGAAAAUCUUGGAUUUUUGGCAGCUGAAAAUAAGAGCUUUCAAUUCAG
ensembl:lncRNA